rnacentral:rRNA from 1 species
AAAGAAACUAACAAGGAUUCCCCUAGUAACGGCGAGCGAAGCGGGAAGAGCUCAAAUUUGAAAGCUGGCGUCUUCGGCGUCCGCGUUGUAAUCUCGAGACGUGUUUUCCGUGCGGCUCUAUGGACAAGUCCCUUGGAACAGGGCAUCGUAGAGGGUGAAAAUCCCGUACUUGCCAUGGAAGUACCGUGCUUUGUGAUACACGCUCCAAGAGUCGAGUAGUUUGGGAUUGCUGCUCAAAGUGGGUGGUAGACUCCAUCUAAAGCUAAAUAUCGGGGAGAGACCGAUAGCGAACAAGUACCGUGAGGGAAAGAUGAAAAGCACUUUGGAAAGAGAGUUAAAAGUACGUGAAAUUGUCGAAAGGGAAGCACUUGAAGUCAGCCAUGCUGCUUGAGACUCAGCCUGGCUUUUGCUUGGUGUAUUUCUCGGUAGCAAGCCAGCAUUGGUUUGUGUCGUCGGAGAAGCGCAUGGGGAAUGUGGCAUCCUCGGAUGUGUUAUAGCCCUGUGCAGGAUACGACGACGUAGACCAAGGAACGCAGUGUGCCCUCUGGGCGGGUCUUCGGACACCUUCACACUUAGGAUGCUGGCGUAAUGGCUUUAAGUGGCCCGUCUUGUAACACGGACCAAGGAGUCUAACAUGUUUGCGAGUCUUUGGGUGGAAAACCCAUGGGCGUAAUUAAUGUAAAUGCAGGUGGGAUGCGCAAGCAGCACCAUCGACCGAUCUGGAUCAUUUAUGUGAUGGAUUUGAGUAAGAGCACAUAUGUUGGGACCCGAAAGAUGGUGAACUAUGCCUGA